UGUACAUGGUGCGUUGAUAAUACUGUUGUGCGGUGUGUGGAUGUCCAGCGUUAGUACAGUUUUGCUGCUUUGGGCGCGUCGUCAUCUUAGAGUGACGUGAAUGUGCAUAGUGACCCGUGUAUUGGUGGAUUACUUUUACUGACCAUGUAGGUUUACUCUGCAUUUAACCCACCCUAAUCUAGCCUACUGUUGAAAUUGUUGAUCAGCGUCGUUGUUGAGAGCCUAUGUGCGGCAUAAUAUGUGUAUUAUAUGCAUAUGGCUGUGUUAGCUGUAACAGAGAUGUGUAAGAUGUGUGCAUGUAGUUUACAGUUGCUUACUGAAGGCCCUGACUGAAACCCCACGGUACGCCACUGGAAACACAGGUGAUCUGAUCUUAAAUAACUUCAUGUGCAUUUUUCACAAUAUAUUUCACCUAUAUCAUCAUGCAUCUUUAAAACCUAAAAAUGUAAAUUCUCUUUUCUUAAGAUUUUUUUAUAUGUUCUGUACAUUAUUCUCUUUUCUGCAUUUCACCUCUGCUGUAGUUUAUUUCUAAUAAACCUGACAUUGUAUAUUACAUAUUGUUGGCUCUGUGACAGAUUGUUUAUGUUCCUAUAUUCUUCCAUGCUGAUGGCCGUGCAGCAGAGUUGAAGGGGAUCUCUUGCUGAAGAACAUCUCCAAGGCACUAUGAACCAUCUGACUAGGCUGUUCGUGAAGACAGAUAAUCAAGAGAUGUUGUGACAACCUGGACAGAAUUCAGCUCCAGAUCCACCCUCCACACCAGACUUCUCACUCACAAGAAUUGCUGUCUACUAGCAUAUUAUACUCUCUUCAGAGCUAGACAUGUUUGUGUUCCAGGUGGGUGUGGCCUCUGUUUACCAGCUGGAGGUGGUGAUUGGUCCCACUAUGCACCUUUCCCAAAUAUAAGGACCGCCCCAAACACUUGUCUUCUGCCUUCUGCCUUGCUAGAAUUCUGAUUGACUGUUGUCCUGUGGAUUGUCGUGCCAGAGAGAGAUAUUCUGAGUAUAGUAAAUCUGUUGAGUGUUUGUUGUUCUGAGAUCAAAUUUUAUAUCUCCUGUUUAUCUGAACAUUGCCUGUUUUGACUACGACUUGGAUUCUGAUUCUGCUUUGUGUACGCCCUGAAACUUUGUAUAUAUUCUUAUUACACGUUUGCCGAAUUAAGGGAUGUAGGGGGCUAGACGCCAUUUUAUUUAUGUAUAUUUUUCACUUUGUUUAUGGUUGAGGGAAGUAGGGAAGUUGGUCUGUAUUUUGUUUUCUUUAUUUUUCUUUGAGCUUAUUUAGUUAUCAAAAAGAAGUUCGUUUUGUUUAUUGUUUUGGCCUUGUCCGCCCCUGAAGAUAUUCCCGUAUAUAAAAAAUAAAAUUCUUUAUUUGGCAUCUCUCUGGUGUGAACACAGUUUUCUUUUUCUGUUACGGCUAACCCCUAGAGGUCAUAACAAUACCCUUUAGAACGAAAUUGUUGAAAUAGCAGUUUUACCUGUUCA